rnacentral:rRNA from 1 species
UUGUCCUACGGGCGCAGCAGUGGGGAAUAUUGCACAAUGGGGGAAACCCUGAUGCAGCGACGCCGCGUGAGUGAGGAAGUAUUUCGGUAUGUAAAGCUCUAUCAGCAGGGAAGAAAAUGACGGUACCUGACCAAGAAGCCCCGGCUAACUACGUGCCAGCAGCCGCGGUAAUACGUAGGGGGCAAGCGUUAUCCGGAUUUACUGGGUGUAAAGGGAGCGUAGGCGGCUGUGUAAGCCAGAAGUGAAAGCCCGAGGCUCAACCACGGGACUGCUUUUGGAACUACAUGGCUUGAUUGCAGGAGAGG